rnacentral:rRNA from 1 species
UGGGGAAUCUUGGACAAUGGGGGCAACCCUGAUCCAGCCAUGCCGCGUGAGUGAUGAAGGCCUUAGGGUCGUAAAGCUCUUUCGCCUGUGAAGAUAAUGACGGUAGCAGGUAAAGAAACCCCGGCUAACUCCGUGCCAGCAGCCGCGGUAAUACGGAGGGGGUUAGCGUUGUUCGGAAUUACUGGGCGUAAAGCGCACGUAGGCGGACUGGAAAGUUGGGGGUGAAAUCCCGGGGCUCAACCCCGGAACUGCCUCCAAAACUAUCAGUCUAGAGUUCGAGAGAGGUGAGUGGAAUUCCGAGUGUAGAGGUGAAAUUCGUAGAUAUUCGGAGGAACACCAGUGGCGAAGGCGGCUCACUGGCUCGAUACUGACGCUGAGGUGCGAAAGUGUGGGGAGCAAACAGGAUUAGAUACCCUGGUAGUCCACACCGUAAACGAUGAAUGCCAGUCGUCGGGUAGCAUGCUAUUCGGUGACACACCUAACGGAUUAAGCAUC